rnacentral:rRNA from 1 species
AGCGAACGCUGGCGGCAUGCUUAACACAUGCAAGUCGCACGGGCAGUAGCAAUACUGUCAGUGGCGGACGGGUGAGUAACGCGUAGGAAUCUAUCCUUGGAAUGGGGGACAACCGUGGGAAACUACGGCUAAUACCGCAUGAUGCCUGAGGGCCAAAGACGAAAGUCGUUUGAGGAGGAGCCUGCGUCUGAUUAGGUAGUUGGUGGGGUAAAGGCCUACCAAGCCUACGAUCAGUAGCUGGUCUGAGAGGAUGAUCAGCCACAUUGGGACUGAGACACGGCCCAAACUCCUACGGGAGGCAGCAGUGGGGAAUAUUGGACAAUGGGCGCAAGCCUGAUCCAGCAAUGCCGCGUGGGUGAAGAAGGUCUUCGGAUUGUAAAGCCCUUUUGGCGGGGACGAUGAUGACGGUACCCGCAGAAUAAGCUCCGGCUAACUUCGUG